rnacentral:tRNA from 1 species
GGAAGCGUGCCUGAAAGUUAAGGGCCUCCUUGAUAGGGAGGAUCAUAGGAGUUCAAACCCCCUCACUUC